rnacentral:rRNA from 1 species
AGGUCUUGACAUCGGAUGCAUAUCUAAGAGAUUAGAGAAGUUCCUUCGGGGACAUCCAGACAGGUGGUGCAUGGUUGUCGUCAGCUCGUGUCGUGAGAUGUUGGGUUAAGUCCCGCAACGAGCGCAACCCUUACCAUUAGUUGCUACGCAAGAGCACUCUAAUGGGACUGCCGUUGACAAAACGGAGGAAGGUGGGGAUGACGUCAAAUCAUCAUGCCCCUUAUGACCUGGGCUACACACGUACUACAAUGGCAAUCAACAAAGAGAAGCGAAACAGCGAUGUGGAGCAAAUCUCGAAAAAUUGUCCCAGUUCGGAUUGCAGGCUGCAACUCGCCUGCAUGAAGUCGGAAUUGCUAGUAAUCGCGGAUCAGCAUGCCGCGGUGAAUACGUUCUCGGGCC